rnacentral:rRNA from 1 species
CCCAGACUCCUACGGGAGGCAGCAGUGGGGAAUAUUGCACAAUGGGGGAAACCCUGAUGCAGCGACGCCGCGUGAGUGAAGAAGUAUUUCGGUAUGUAAAGCUCUAUCAGCAGGAACGAGACAAGACGGUACCUGACUAAGAAGCCCCGGCUAACUACGUGCCAGCAGCCGCGGUAAUACGUAGGGGGCAAGCGUUAUCCGGAAUCACUGGGUGUAAAGGGAGCGUAGACGGCUGUGCAAGCCUGAAGUGAAAUGCCGGGGCUUAACCCCGGAACUGCUUUGGAAACUGUGCGGCUGGAGUGCAGGAGGGGUAAGCGGAAUUCCUAGUGUAGCGGUGAAAUGCGUAGAUAUUAGGAGGAACACCAGUGGCGAAGGCGGCUUACUGGACUGUAACUGACGUUGAGGCUCGAAAGCGUGGGGAGCAAACAGGAUUAGAUACCCCUGUACG